AUUGAACGCUAGCGGGAUGCUUUACACAUGCAAGUCGAACGAGUGGCGGACGGGUGAGUAAUAUAUCGGAACGUGCACAGUAGCGGGGGAUAACUACUCGAAAGAGUGGCUAAUAACGCCUACUAUUGGAGCGGCCGCUAUCGGAUUAGCUAGUUGGGGGGGUAAAGGAUCACUAGGGAAAAGAUCCGUAGCUGGUGUGAGAGGACGAACAGCAAAACUGGGACUGAGACACGGCCCAGACUCCUACGGGAGGCAGCAGUGGGGAAUUUUGGACAAUGGGGGAAACCCUGAUCCAGCCAUCCCGCGUUGAUGAGAAGGCCUUCGGGUUGUAAAGUACUUUUGGCAGAGAAGCGGUAUCUGCAGAAUAAGCACCGGCUAACUACGUGCCAGCAGCCGCGGUAAUAC
rnacentral:rRNA from 1 species